rnacentral:rRNA from 1 species
CCAAUAGCGUAUAUUAACGUUGUUGCAGUUAAAAAGCUCGUCGUUGAAUUUCGGGAUCAAUAUAUCGGUCGUGCCAUUGGUACGUACUGGUAUCAUUGGUUUCUCCUUUCUGACGAACCAUGAUGUCAUUAAUUUGGUGUUAUGGGAAGUUAGGACUGUUACUUUGAAAAAAUUAGAGUGUUUAAAGCAGGCUUUAGCUUGAAUACAUUAGCAUGGAAUAAUGAAAUAGGACGUUCGAACCUAUUUUGUUGGUUUCUAGGAUCAACGUAAUGAUUAAUAGGGAUAGUUGGGGGCAUUAGUAUUCAAUUGUCAGAGGUGAAAUUCUUGGAUUUAUUGAAGACUAACUACUGCGAAAGCAUUUGCCAAGGAUGUUUUCAUUAAUCAAGAACGAAAGUUAGGGGAUCGAAGACGAUCAGAUACCGUCGUAGUCUUAACCAUAAACUAUGCCGACUAGGGAUCGGAUGAUGUUAAUUUUUUAAUGACUCAUUCGGCGCCUUACG